rnacentral:lncRNA from 1 species
UAGUAGUCCAUAGGAGUAAUUAAUAAAUUCAGAAUAAUGAUGUGCUCCAGGGUCUUGCUUUGUCAAGAGUGUACUCCUUGGACCAGUGAUAUCAAUACUACCUUGGAACUUGUUGAGGUGCAAAAUCUCAGAAUGCACUCUAUACCUGUGGAACCAGAAGCUGCAUUUUAACAAAUCCCCGGAUGAUUGCAAUGCACAUUACGUUUCAGAAGUAUUAUUAUAGGGGAUACUGCUUUACCUUGGUACUUUCUGCUUCUCUCUAAAGUACAAGUUAUUUUAAGGAGUCUCAUAUCUGUUUGGAUUCCCCUUCCACACUCUGCAGUCCUUUAGGAUUCUAUUGAAACCAAAAUAAUUACACAAAGAAUUUUUGAAAUUAGGCCAACCUAAAUAUGAAUUGAACUUCAUUGAAGGAUAUGGACCAAAGGUCUAGUCCCAGGAAUGCCAAAAUAUCUACCUGAGUGAGUCUCAAGUAAUAUAAUUUUGAUUGCUAAGAAUCAGAGGAAAGAGACAUCCUACAAAAGUCUGGAAGUUUCUAAUUGAUAUAAAGAUCUGCUAUGUGGAAAGUUUGAGAGCUGCGAAAAGAUAAUCAUUUCUAGGGAAUGAAAACGUAACAGCUCUUCCUCAAACACGCCAGGCCUGCUUCUGCCUUUGAAUUUGUUUCAGCUCUAAUUCUUCCUAUGUGUUCUUUCCCCAGGUAUUCACUCCUUAGCCUGUAAGACAUUUCUUACCUAAAUAACUAUUAGAAUUAGU